UAUUGCUCCAUCUUGUGAUCAUAUCGAUUAUUCAUUUUUUUUUCCCCCCAACUGAUCAUCCCCAAAUAUCCUGAUAUUGUAAAGAUCCUUCCAGCCAUCCAUCCUUCAUCCAUCCCAUCCGUCAUUCCAUUUGUCCAUCCAUCAUCCAUGUACCCCUACGUCGUUGUCCAUCUAUCCCCUUUAUCAUUCAUCUUUCAUUGUCCUUUUUGUCCUUCAUCCAUCUGUUGUGUCAUCCAUUUCUAUACCUCGUGUUCCAUCCAUUUGUCUUUUAUUCAUCUCUCCAGCUUGCUAUCUUUCUUUUAUCUGCCCAUCUCUAUACUGUCUCCAUCCAUCUCUUGCUAGACAUUUGAGGUAAACAGGAGGAGGAGGAGGAGGAGGAAGUGGAAGAGUGGCGCCAUCAGAGGAAAAGGGUGUCUUUUCCUUGCCUGAAAUAAAAUCCAAAAAGAAGAAAACCCAGGCGGCCCUGACCUCUUACCUCCGGUUUGAUGUUUUCCUCCCCUCGUAGACGGGAAAAGAGAGAGAGGUCGUUUGACAUCGGGACUGCAACUUAACCGUUUUCAUUUUUGCUUCCAUCAACUGGCGCGCAAAAAGUAAAUUGUGGGGUUUUCAAACAAGGUGGAAGGUGGGAAGUGUUCCCUUGUUCAAAGAGGAGAAGAAACACUUCAAUUUUUUGGUUUUAAAAAUUGCAAUUUAUUGGGACAAAUUCCAUGACACGCUCCCUAAACCUCAGGAACAAGUAAUUCAAUACUCUCUUGUCUUCUUUUUGGAGAGGUCAAAUAUUUGGUGGUUAUUAUGACAAACGGUCUUCCAAAAGAAAAAUGCUUUUUUUUUUUGUUUUUUUUUUUGCAACAGGACUCAAAACUGUAAUUUUCAAAGGUGAUUCAAGGUCUGCAGCUCGGUGAGCAAACGGUUCGAGUGACGGCUCACAGUUGUGAGGACCGGGUUUCAAUGGCGACCCCACCUGCGCGGAGUUAGCAUGUUUUCCCCGUGCCCGCGUGGCUUUUCUCUGGGUGGGCACUCCGCUUUCCUGCCACAUCCCAAAAACAUUCUCGCAUUAAUUGGGGAAUCUAAAUCGGUAACGAUUGUGUUUGUCCCGAUGACUGGCGACCAGUUCAGGGCGUACCCCGCCCGCCUCCUGCCUGUUGACAGGUGGGAUAGGCUCCUGCACGCCCCGCGACCCUUGUGAGGAUCAGCGGCGUAGAUAAUCAAUGGCUGGGUAGAUUUAAAGUCUAGUUAGCGCGAGAGCAAUCACGUGAUUCCUUCACGACAGAAAGCACGAGUUAUUGAAAAAUAAAAGACGCAGAGAGAAUGGAAACGAUGUAAAUUUAUGGGCAAAGAAUAAUUGCACUUUAUCUCCAGUUGGAAAAAUAAAAGCCCUUUAAAAAAAAAAAAAAGUCAGUCCCCACGCCCUCCCCGAUAUUUCUUUCUUUUAUUGUUUUUAUUUAUUACAUUUCAAUGCCAAAUGUUACUGACGUAUUCCUUGGAUUUGAAAACUAUGACGUCUUUGGGUGGCUCGAGCGCUGUUGGUGGAAAAAGGUCAGGUGACUCGUCGGCCUCGCAGACCCGCGAGCUCAACGACGGGGUGGACUCGACUCGCUAACUCGAACCCAUUUUGGACACAAAGGCGCACUUAACGCCGCUUCUCCGCAGAUGCAGCGUCGGGAGGUUAAAAAACAAAAAAAAAAAAACAACAACACAGAGGACGCAAUUAAAAAAAAAAAAAAAAAGCCAAGACAGGACGCGUGAGACGGACGCAAGGAAAAAGGACAUCCUCGGCCACUCCGGACUUCAAGUGUCGUACGUAAGUGACGUUUCCGCGGGCUUGACUUCCUGGAUUCGAGUUGAGAAGGACAAAAACAACAACGACGACGACGACGGCAGCCUCGUCCUUUUAAACGUUCAAAAAUGGAUUUUCUUGAUGUGAAGCAGUUUGAACAAAGGGCUGCAAUAUUGGGACAGUGUAGCUCCACCCACCGACAUAUCAGAACGGGAUUCACAUGGCCGUAUUUGAACAGUAUAGAUACGCUGAUGUUAUAUCAGUACAGUAUCGAUUUGCCUACAUCAGAUGUCCGUACGAGAUUAAUAUGCAAAUAUUGCUACUUUAUUAAUACGACGGCAUCAAAUAUUGAUACGGUAUUGCUCGGCCGAUUAUCAGAUAUUGAUCAAAAUAUCGAUACGCCGGCAUCAGCCACCUGUACUGUUAUCACUCAACCGACGUCAGAUAUGGGUACGUACGUUAUCUAUACGUCAGCGAUCAGUACGGCAUAUACUACGCUGACAUCAGAUAUCGGCACCGUACAGCUACGCCAAUAUCGGGUAUCGGUACAAUUUAAGUAUGCCGACCAGUACUUCGUUGACAGCCGUCACUGCGUAUCGGUACAGUAUCCAUUCGCAAAUACUGCACGUGUUGAUACAUCAACGUUUGUUCGAGAUGUUGUGAAUUGUUUUAAUAGUACCAAAGGGUGGCAUGCUUGGCGUCUGCCUCACAGUUGUGAGGACCGGGGUUCAAAUCCCGGCCCCGCCUGUGCCGACUCUGCACGUUCUCCCCCUUGGCUGCCGAGUGUGGCUUUUGUCCUCCGACAUCUCCAAAACACGCACGGUGGAUUCAUUGAUGAGUCGAUAUUGCCCCGUUGAUUUUUUUUUUUUUUUUUUUUUCGUUUUGUAUGUGCCCUUCCGAUUGGUCGGGAACCCGUCCUGGGAGGGGCUCCGGCACUCUCGCGACCCUUGUGGGGAUAAGCCACUCAGAGAAUGAAUAGCAGAGUAUUAUGAAAAACAUCCAUAAUCAUUUUAAUGAUCUUUCUUUUGUUUUCAUGAUAUCGCAAUUGAUCCUGUUUUUUUUUUUUUUUUUCUGCCAAUAUUUAUAUUAUUGCGUAUUAUCCUUGAUGGUCUUAAAUUAAGAGUUGCAAUGUUUUCAUGCACGUCACUGACACUUUUUCUUGUUUUUCUCGUGUUGUUCGGAUUUCACAUGCCAGGGAGUAUUUUUUUCGUUUUCGAGGUACCGAUGAAGCAAUGCUAACACUUUGCCGCAUAUAUUUGGCUGUCUGGUUUUGAAAUGGUGAAAAAUGUAUCAAUUCAGUUGGGAUUUCUCUCCCACCAGGGUUGAGUAACCCGCUCCGCUCACGUGACCUUGGCCUCAACCGAUUGUACGUCGCGGAUGUCUUAUUUUGAAGUAUGAAGGGGGAAAAAAAAAAUGGUUUCAAGCAAGUUUCUUUGAUCUGGACUGUUAAGGCAAGUGGCGGCAAAAGAACGCAGAAAUUGGAUUCGGGUGAUUAUACUGUAUUUGAGGCACCUAUUGGAAUAAUAAUAAUAAUAAUAAUAAU